rnacentral:rRNA from 1 species
AGAAUUUGAUCUUGGUUCAGGAUGAACGCUAGCUACAGGCUUAACACAUGCAAGUCGAGGGGCAGCAUGAUCAAAGCUUGCUUUGAUUGAUGGCGACCGGCGCACGGGUGAGUAACGCGUAUCCAACCUUCCCCUUAGUAGGGCAUAGCCCGUAGAAAUGCGGAUUAAUACCCUAUGUUGUUCGAUGCGGACAUCUAAGUUGAACCAAAGGUUUACCGCUAAGGGAUGGGGAUGCGUCUGAUUAGGCAGCAGGCGGGGUAACGGCCCACCUGGCCUACGAUCAGUAGGGGUUCUGAGAGGAAGGUCCCCCACAUUGGAACUGAGACACGGUCCAAACUCCUACGGGAGGCAGCAGUGAGGAAUAUUGGUCAAUGGGCGAGAGCCUGAACCAGCCAAGUAGCGUGCAAGGACGACGGCCCUAUGGGUUGUAAACUGCUUUUAUGCGGGGAUAAAGUGCGGCACGUGUGCCGUUUUGUAGGUACCGCAUGAAUAAGGACCGGCUAAUUCCGUGCCAGCAGCAGC